rnacentral:rRNA from 1 species
GACGAACGCUGGCGGCGUGCUUAACACAUGCAAGUCGAACGCUGAAGCUUGGUGCUUGCACUGGGUGGAUGAGUGGCGAACGGGUGAGUAAUACGUGAGUAACCUGCCCUUGACUCUGGGAUAAGCCUGGGAAACUGGGUCUAAUACUGGAUACGACAUGCCACUGCAUGGUGGUGUGUGGAAAGGGUUUUACUGGUUUUGGAUGGGCUCACGGCCUAUCAGCUUGUUGGUGGGGUAAUGGCCUACCAAGGCGACGACGGGUAGCCGGCCUGAGAGGGUGACCGGCCACACUGGGACUGAGACACGGCCCAGACUCCUACGGGAGGCAGCAGUGGGGAAUAUUGCACAAUGGGCGGAAGCCUGAUGCAGCGACGCCGCGUGAGGGAUGACGGCCUUCGGGUUGUAAACCUCCUUCAGCACGGAAGAAGCGAGAGUGACGGUACGUGCAGAAGAAGCGCCGGCUAACUACGUG